rnacentral:rRNA from 1 species
AUACGGAGGAUGCGAGCGUUAUCCGGAUUUAUUGGGUUUAAAGGGAGCGUAGGUGGGAUAUUAAGUCAGCUGUGAAAGUUUGGGGCUCAACCUUAAAAUUGCAGUUGAUACUGGUUUCCUUGAGUACGGUAUAGGUGGGCGGAAUUCGUGGUGUAGCGGUGAAAUGCUUAGAUAUCACGAAGAACUCCGAUCGCGAAGGCAGCUCACCGGGCCGGAACUGACACUGAUGCUCGAAAGUGCGGGUAUCAAACGGGAUUAGAUACCCUGGUAGUCCGCACAGUAAACGAUGAAUACUCGCUGUUUGCGAUACACUGUAAGCGGCCAAGCGAAAGCGUUAAGUAUUCCACCUGGGGAGUACGCCGGCAACGGUGAAACUCAAAUGAAUUGGCGGGG